GACGAACGCUGGCGGCGUGCCUAAUACAUGCAAGUAGAACGCAGUUGCGAACGGGUGAGUAACGCGUAGGUAACUGCCUCAUAGCGGGGGAUAACUAUUGGAAACGAUAGCUAAUACCGCAUACUGUGAGAUGGACCUGCGUUGUAUUAGCUAGUUGGUGAGGUAAAGGCUCACCAAGGCGACGAUACAUAGCCGACCUGUGAGGGUUGUCCGGCACCCUGGGACUGAGACACGGCCCAGACUCCUACGGGAGGCAGGCGUAGGGAAUCUUCGGCAAUGGACGGAAGUCUGACCGAGCCACGCCGCGUGAGUGAAGAAGGUUUUCGGAGCUUAAAGCUAUGUUGAUAGGGGAGCGGUAACUGACGAGAAAGGGACGGCUAACUACGUGCCAGCAGCCGCGGUAAUUC
rnacentral:rRNA from 1 species